rnacentral:rRNA from 1 species
CCUACGGGUGGCUGCAGUGAGGAAUAUUGGUCAAUGGACGAAAGUCUGAACCAGCCAAGUAGCGUGAAGGAUGACUGCCCUAUGGGUUGUAAACUUCUUUUAUAUGGGAAUAAAACGUUCCACGUGUGGGACUUUGUAUGUACCAUAUGAAUAAGGAUCGGCUAACUCCGUGCCAGCAGCCGCGGUAAUACGGAGGAUCCGAGCGUUAGCCGGAUUUAUUGGGGUGAGAGUGAGCGUAGGUGGAAUGUUAAGUCAGUUGUGAAAGUUUGGGGCUCAACCGUAAAAUUGCAGUUGAAACUGGCAGUCUUGAGUACGGUAGAGGUGGGCGGAAUUCGUGGUGUAGCGGUGAAAUGCUUAGAUAUCACGAAGAACUCCGAUUGCGAAGGCAGCUAACUGGACUGCAACUGACACUGAGGCUCGAAAGUGUGGGUAUCAAACAGGAUUAGAUACCCGAGUAGUC